UAGGGAAUCUUCCACAAUGGGCGAAAGCCUGAUGGAGCAACGCCGCGUGUGUGAUGAAGGGUUUCGGCUCGUAAAACACUGAUGUAAGAGAAGAAUGACAUUGAGAGUAACUGUUCAAUGUGUGACGGUAUCUUACCAGAAAGGAACGGCUAAAUACGUACCAG
rnacentral:rRNA from 1 species